AUUGAACGCUGGCGGCAUGCCUUACACAUGCAAGUCGAACGGUAACGCGGGGCAACCUGGCGACGAGUGGCGAACGGGUGAGUAAUGCAUCGGAACGUGCCCAGUAGUGGGGGAUAGCCCGGCGAAAGCCGGAUUAAUACCGCAUACGACCUACGGGUGAAAGCGGGGGACCGUAAGGCCUCGCGCUAUUGGAGCGGCCGAUGUCAGAUUAGGUAGUUGGUGGGGUAAAGGCCUACCAAGCCUUCGAUCUGUAGCUGGUCUGAGAGGACGACCAGCCACACUGGGACUGAGACACGGCCCAGACUCCUACGGGAGGCAGCAGUGGGGAAUUUUGGACAAUGGGCGCAAGCCUGAUCCAGCCAUGCCGCGUGCGGGAAGAAGGCCUCGGUUGUAAG
rnacentral:rRNA from 1 species